rnacentral:rRNA from 2 species
AGCAGCCGCGGUAAUUCCAGCUCCAAUAGCGUAUAUUAAAGUUGUUGCAGUUAAAAAGCUCGUAGUUGAAUUUCGGGAUCAAUUUAUCGGUCGUGCCAAUGGUAUGAACUGGUACAAUUGGUUUCUCCCUUCUGACGAAGCAUGAUGUCAUUAAUUUGGUGUCGUGGGGAAUCAGGACUGUUACUUUGAAAAAAUUAGAGUGUUUAAAGCAAGCAUUAGCUUGAAUACAUUAGCAUGGAAUAAUGAAAUAGGACGUUUGAUCCUAUUUCGUUGGUUUCUAGGAUCGACGUAAUGAUUAAUAGGGAUAGUUGGGGGCAUUAGUAUUCAAUUGUCAGAGGUGAAAUUCUUGGAUUUAUUGAAGACUAACUACUGCGAAAGCAUUUGCCAAGGAUGUUUUCAUUAAUCAAGAACGAAAGUUAGGGGAUCGAAGACGAUCAGAUACCGUCGUAGUCUUAACCAUAAACUAUGCCGACUAGGGAUCGGAUGAUGUUAAUUUUUUAAUGACUCAUUCGGCGCCUUACG